rnacentral:rRNA from 1 species
AGCGAACGCUGGCGGCAGGCCUAACACAUGCAAGUCGAACGAAGUCUUCGGACUUAGUGGCGGACGGGUGAGUAACACGUGGGAACGUGCCUUUAGGUUCGGAAUAACUCCGGGAAACUUGUGCUAAUACCGAAUGUGCCCUUCGGGGGAAAGAUUUAUCGCCUUUAGAGCGGCCCGCGUCUGAUUAGCUAGUUGGUGAGGUAAAGGCUCACCAAGGCGACGAUCAGUAGCUGGUCUGAGAGGAUGAUCAGCCACAUUGGGACUGAGACACGGCCCAAACUCCUACGGGAGGCAGCAGUGGGGAAUCUCGCGCAAUGGGCGAAAGCCUGACGCAGCCAUGCCGCGUGAAUGAUGAAGGUCUUAGGAUUGUAAAAUUCUUUCACCGGGGACGAUAAUGACGGUACCCGGAGAAGAAGCCCCGGCUAACUUCGUGCCAGCCGCCGCGGUAA